GCAUUAAUGGGGUAGUGGUAACCUUAGUCGUUGCCAUGUGCUAGAUCGACUAGCCACGAGUUCGAUUCUCGUUUAAUGCA